GUGCUGGCUUCACACGCACUUACACUAAAAUUGGGAGGAUGCAGAGAAAAAUAACAUGGUCCCUGCACACUGAUGCCCCACAAAUUCUCCAAGUGUUCCAUAUUUUA